rnacentral:rRNA from 1 species
UGAGGAAUAUUGGUCAAUGGUCGAGAGACUGAACCAGCCAAGUCGCGUGAAGGAUGACGGUCUUCUGGAUUGUAAACUUCUUUUGUAUGGGAAUAAAGUUAGGUACGUGUACCUAUUUGUAUGUACCAUUCGAAUAAGCAUCGGCUAACUCCGUGCCAGCAGCCGCGGUAAUACGGAGGAUGCGAGCGUUAUCCGGAUUUAUUGGGUUUAAAGGGUGCGUAGGCGGGAUUUUAAGUCAGCGGUGAAAUUUUGUGGCUCAACCAUAACAUUGCCGUUGAAACUGUGAUUCUUGAGUUCGGUUGAGGUAAGCGGAAUGAGUAGUGUAGCGGUGAAAUGCUUAGAUAUUACUCAGAACUCCAAUUGCGAAGGCAGCUUACUGGUCCGUUACUGACGCUGAAGCACGAAAGCGUGGGUAUCAAACA